rnacentral:rRNA from 1 species
UGGGGAAUAUUGCACAAUGGGCGCAAGCCUGAUGCAGCCAUGCCGCGUGUAUGAAGAAGGCCUUCGGGUUGUAAAGUACUUUCAGUCGGGAGGAAGGUGUCAAGGUUAAUAACCUUGGCAAUUGACGUUACCGACAGAAGAAGCACCGGCUAACUCCGUGCCAGCAGCCGCGGUAAUACGGAGGGUGCAAGCGUUAAUCGGAAUUACUGGGCGUAAAGCGCACGCAGGCGGUUGAUUGAGUCAGAUGUGAAAUCCCCGGGCUUAACCCGGGAAUUGCAUCUGAUACUGGUCAGCUAGAGUCUUGUAGAGGGGGGUAGAAUUCCAGGUGUAGCGGUGAAAUGCGUAGGGAUGUGGAGGAAUACCGGUGGCGAAGGCGGCCCCCUGGACAAAGACUGACGCUCAGGUGCGAAAGCGUGGGGAGCAAACAGG